rnacentral:rRNA from 1 species
GAUGAACGCUGGCGGCGUGCCUAAUACAUGCAAGUCGAGCGAACGGACGAGAAGCUUGCUCCUCUGACGUUAGCGGCGGACGGGUGAGUAACACGUGGAUAACCUACCUAUAAGACUGGGAUAACUUCGGGAAACCGGAGCUAAUACCGGAUAAUAUUUUGAACCGCAUGGUUCAAUAGUGAAAGACGGUUUUGCUGUCACUUAUAGAUGGAUCCGCGCCGCAUUAGCUAGUUGGUAAGGUAACGGCUUACCAAGGCAACGAUGCGUAGCCGACCUGAGAGGGUGAUCGGCCACACUGGAACUGAGACACGGUCCAGACUCCUACGGGAGGCAGCAGUAGGGAAUCUUCCGCAAUGGGCGAAAGCCUGACGGAGCAACGCCGCGGGAGUGAUGAAGGUCUUCGGAUCGUAAAACUCUGUUAUUAGGGAAGAACAAAUGUGUAAGUAACUAUGCACGUCUUGACGGUACCUAAUCAGAAAGCCACGGCUAACUACGUG